rnacentral:tRNA from 1 species
AGGUGCUAUGGGUGGAGGAGUUAUGCCUGCUACUAGAAAUAAUGUAGCUGUAUAUGCUAACACUGCUCAAGGUUCUGUUCCUUAUAGUGCUUA